GAGCAGCUCCAGCAGCACCACGCCGUAGCUGUACACGUCGGACUCCAUGCUGCUCUUGGUGGAAAACGCCAGUUCUGCAAGGCAGCGCCCGGCCAUUAGGUAUGUACUGGUGUGUAAUCUGAAGACCAAAUUCAUAGUUCCAAAUAACAAGUUCACCAAAUCUUAAAAAUAAUGAAAAUACGGUACUCAAUCUGACAAACUGAUGUUCGAGAAUCCAAAUAGUAAAUAACCACUAAUUAACACAGAUUUUGUUGCUCUAGAGCAAAUCUGUGCAUGCAAGGUGACAGAAAAUCCUUCAAGAUUAGCUUAUUUCUCAGUCCAUCAAUUAAAUAGAAAAGUUCCAGUCAUUUCCAUGUGCAAAGGGAUUACAUGUUUGUAAGCUUAUGCAUGACGCUUUGAGUGCUAUUAAAACUCUGAGAUGCAGCUGAUAAUAUGUAUGUUUGCACUGGGAUGUUGGGUAGAUACAGAUUUCAACAAAAUGCUUUAGACUACAUGAAACAUUUUACAAUCCUAAAUUUCCAAUCAACCAUACAAGCUAACAAGGAAAAAGGAACAGUUAUGCAUCAUGCUUUGUUUCAAGUUUCAACCAUACCUGGUGCCAUAUAUCCAACAGUGCCAACGAUUCCAGUGGUCUGUGGAGCAGAAGGCUGAUCCAUGAGCUUUGCAAUGCCAAAAUCUGAUAUGUGUGGCACCAUGUCCUUGUCUAGCAAUAUAUUACUUGGCUUGAUAUCACGGUGAAUUAUUGCAGGGCGGCAGUCAUCAUGAAGAUACGCUAAACCAUGGGCGGUACCCAGUGCUAUUUCAUACCGCACACACCAGUCUAAAACUGUUGCUGGCUGAAUUACAUGCAAAACAUCAUGAAGGCUUCCUUUGUCCAUAAAAUCAUAUAGUAUGAAGCCAUUAUCGCUCCUCAACCAAAACUCUUUUAGCUUUACCAGGUUUCUAUGCUUAAUUUUAUAUAUUGUCUUCAGUUCUCUCAUCAUGCUUUUGUAUGAACCUUUGUGUGAAGAAAUCACAAGCUUCUUUAUAGCAUACACAUCGCCUGACCUCAGUGUAGCCUUGUAAACAGUUCCAUGAGCACCUGUGCCGAUAAUAUACUUGUCAUCAAAAUUUUCAGUCGCCUCUAUAACCUCAUUUAAUUUAGAGGAGGAACCUUCAAACAUAGUACUCACUGAUUCCUCAUUUUUUUUCUUCCGAUCUCGAGACUUCAGAAGGAUGCAAGCGAGUACAAGUACCAAAAGUGCUCCCACAAACAAUGAACCAAGAACUAUGAGAGCAAGCCUGAAUCGGCCAUGUAAUCCUCUUUUCUU
rnacentral:lncRNA from 1 species